UACGAGGGAUGCAAGCGUUAUCCGGAAUUCUUGGGCGUAAAGCGUCCGCAGGUGGCUCUGUAAGUCUGUCGUUAAAGAAUGGGGCUCAACCCCAUACAGGCGAUGGAAACUACAAGGCUAGAGUUUGGUAGGGGUCACGGGAAUUCUUAGUGUAGCGGUGAAAUGCGUAGAUAUUAAGAAGAACACCAGCGGCGAAAGCGCGUGACUGGGCCAGUACUGACACUCAUGGACGAAAGCUAGGGGAGCGAAAGGG
rnacentral:rRNA from 1 species